GGUCAAGCUAAUAAGGGCUAAUGGUGGAUACCUAGGCACACAGAGGCGAAGAAGGACGUGGUUACCGACGAAAUACUCCGGGGAGUUGGAAGCAAACAUUGAGCCGGAGGUGUCCGAAUGGGGCAACCCUAAAUACUACCUGUUGAAUAUAUAGACAGGAAAGAGCCAACCCAGCGAACUGAAACAUCUUAGUAGCUGGAGGAAGAGAAAUCAAAAGAGAUUCCCUGAGUAGUGGUGAGCGAAAGGGGAAGAGCCUAAACCAGUUGGUUUACUGACUGGGGUAGUGGGACAGCGAUAUCGAAUCACGGAGACUAGACGAAGCAGCUAAAUACUGCACCAGAGGAGGUGAAAGUCCUGUAGUCGAAAGUCAAAGGAUAGUAGCUGAAUCCCGAGUAGCAUGGGGCACGAGGAAUCCCAUGUGAAUCAGCGAGGACCAUCUCGUAAGGCUAAAUACUACUGUGUGACCGAUAGUGAACCAGUACCGCGAGGGAAAGGUGAAAAGAACCCCGCAAGGGGAGUGAAAUAGAACAUGAAACCAUUAGCUUACAAGCAGUGGGAGUCCGAUUAAACGGAUGACCGCGUGCCUGUUGAAGAAUGAGCCGGCGACUUAUAGGCACUGGUAGGUUAAAGCGGAAAUGCUGGAGCCAAAGGGAAACCGAGUCUGAAAAGGGCGAUAAUCAGUGUUUAUAGACCCGAACCCUGGUGAUCUAACCAUGGCCAGGAUGAAGCUUGGGUAACACCAAGUGGAGGUCCGAACCGACCGAUGUUGAAAAAUCGGCGGAUGAGUUGUGGUUAGGGGUGAAAUGCCAAUCGAACCAGGAGCUAGCUGGUUCUCCCCGAAAUGUGUUGAGGCGCAGCGGUAACGAUUAUAUCUGGGGGGUAAAGCACUGUUUCGGUGCGGGCUGGGAGACCGGUACCAAAUCGAGACAAACUCAGAAUACCCAGAGCACACGUUGCCAGUGAGACGGUGGGGGAUAAGCUUCAUCGUCAAGAGGGAAACAGCCCAGACCACCAGCUAAGGUCCCCAAAUCAUCGCUAAGUGAUAAAGGAGGUGAGAUUGCCUAGACAACUAGGAGGUUUGCCUAGAAGCAGCCACCCUUGAAAGAGUGCGUAAUAGCUCACUAGUCAAGCGAUCUUGCGCCGAAAAUGAACGGGGCUAAGCGAUGUACCGAAGCUGUGGGAUUAAUUUAUUAAUCGGUAGCGACUGUCUUGAAAGUCAAGCGAUCGUUAACAAAAACCGGGACUCUGAACAUUGACGCAACUGGGGAACGCUGCGCUAGAUUCUGCGGUGGCUGGUACGGGCAAAAAGACUUGUGGCUCUUGGCUAAGAUGGUAGCAGCCCGCACCAGCCACUCCGCUUCGCCGCAGAAUCUUCCCCAGUUGCUGGAUUUCCCGUGAAGAUAAAAAAGAGCAUCAAAAAUUGACCCAAAUGCGGCAAUAGGAUCAUCAGGGAGAGUAUUUCCAAGUAUAAAAACGGUCAAUUGUGAUUAAGCGUUGGGAAUGGGUUGUAAGUUGUCAGUAACACGCCAAGGUAAAUUAUCCCGAACCAUUGCAUUUAAAAUGACUAACAUUUUAUGAACGCAAGCAGUGAGAGCUAAUUUUUUCGAUUUACCACGUUCGACAAGACGCUCAUAAAAGGCCUUGAUAACCGGAUUAUGACGCAUAGCAACAACAGCACCCAUAUAAAGAGUGGCACGAACAUGAGCGCGACCGCCAUUAAUCAUGCGCUUACCUUUGUGUUGACCACUAUCAUGAUUGAUAGGUGCAACACCAACUAAGCGAGAAAUUUGUUUGGCAGUGAGUUGACCGAGUUCUGGCAAAUCAGAAACCAGAGUUGUCGAAAUAACUUGGCCAAUACCAGGAGUAGUUUUGAGUAAAUUAACUUUUUCAAUCCAUUGUUGAUUGUUUUGAGUUAAUUGCUCAAUUUCUUGAUUGAGUUGUUUGAGACGUUCGUCAAGAUAUUCAAUGUGUGCUUCAAUAUCUGCCAAUGCUUUACCACGGGCGCGUGAGCGUCGAUUUUUUUCAGCAGUUUGCAUCUCAACUAAUUGUCUUCGACGACUAAUUAAUUCUCCUAAUUGACGAGAUGCUUGUGACUCAAUGUUUAACACUUGAGGUUUCAUUGCUUCCCCAAAGUGUGCCAAUAUUUGUGCAUCGAUAGCAUCUGUUUUGGCGAGUUUACCAGUGGCUUUGGCAAAAUUUCGUCCUUGACGUGGAUUGAUUAAUGCUACUGGUAGCAUUGCUGCCUGUAGUUGAAUGACCAGUUCUGUUUCUAAUCCUCCGGUUGCUUCUAGUACGAUGAGGUUCAAAUCAUAAAAUUUUAAUUGUUCAACUAAAUUAAAUAUUUCUAGUUCUGUAUUAGCAAACUUCAAUGCUUUACCGAUGGGACGGAUAUAAACAUCGAGGGUCGCUUUGCUCACGUCAAUGCCUACCCACACAGAGAUGUUUUCCAUUUUUGAAUCUCAACUAUUUUGUCAAGAAGUUUUUAAUUCAUCCCCUUGAU
rnacentral:rRNA from 1 species